rnacentral:rRNA from 1 species
GUGGCCAAACUACCCUACAGACCGCGAUAACCUCGGGAAACUGAGGCCAAUAGCGGAUAUCACUCUCAGACUGGAGUGUCGAGAGUGAGAAACGUUCCGGCGCUGUAGGAUGUGGCUGCGGCCGAUUAGGUAGAUGGUGGGGUAACGGCCCACCAUGCCGAUAAUCGGUACAGGUUGUGAGAGCAAGAGCCUGGAGACGGUAUCUGAGACAAGAUACCGGGCCCUACGGGGCGCAGCAGGCGCGAAACCUUUACACUGCACGACAGUGCGAUAGGGGGACUCCGAGUGUGAGGGCAUAUAGCCCUCGCUUUUCUGAACCGUAAGGUGGUUCAGGAACAAGGACUGGGCAAGACCGGUGCCAGCCGCCGCGGUAAUACCGGCAGUCCGAGUGAUGGCCGAUAUUAUUGGGCCUAAAGCGUCCGUAGCUUGCUGUGUAAGUCCAUUGGGAAAUCGACCAGCUCAACUGGUCGGCGUCCGGUGGAAACUACACAGCUUGGGGCCGAGAGACUCAACGGGUACGUCCGGGGUAGGAGUGAAAUCCUGUAAUCCUGGACGGACCACCAAUGGGGAAACCACGUUGAGAGACCGGACCCGACAGUGAGGGACGAAAGCCAGGGUCUCGAACCGGAUUAGAUACCCGGGUAGUCCUGGCUGUAAACAAUGCUCGCUAGGUAUGUCACGCGCCAUGAGCACGUGAUGUGCCGUAGUGAA